rnacentral:rRNA from 1 species
AGCGGGGGAUCUUCGGACCUCGCGCUAUCGGAUGAGCCUAGGUCGGAUUAGCUAGUUGGUGAGGUAAAGGCUCACCAAGGCGACGAUCCGUAGCUGGUCCGAGAGGAUGAUCAGCCACACUGGAACUGAGACACGGUCCAGACUCCUACGGGAGGCAGCAGUGGGGAAUAUUGGACAAUGGGCGAAAGCCUGAUCCAGCCAUGCCGCGUGUGUGAAGAAGGUCUUCGGAUUGUAAAGCACUUUAAGUUGGGAGGAAGGGUUGUAACCUAAUACGUUGCAACUUUGACGUUACCGACAGAAUAAGCACCGGCUAACUUCGUGCCAGCAGCCGCGGUAAUACGAAGGGUGCAAGCGUUAAUCGGAAUUACUGGGCGUAAAGCGCGCGUAGGUGGUUUGAUAAGUUGGAUGUGAGAGCCCCGGGCUCAACCUGGGAGUUGCAUCCAAAACUGUCUGACUAGAGUACGGUAGAGGGUAGUGGAAUUUCCUGUGUAGCGGUGAAAUGCGUAGAUAUGUGGAGGAAUACCGGUGGCGAAGGCGGCCUCCUGGCUCAAUACUGACGCUGAGGUGCGAAAGCGUGGGGAUCAAACAGGAUUAGAUACCCUGGUAGUCCACGCCGUAAACGAUGUCGACUAGCCGUUGGGGACCUUGGUGUCCUUGGUGGCGUAGCUAACGCGCUAAGUC